UCACUGGUACUAUAGGAAGAUGGCGUGGGU
rnacentral:piRNA from 1 species